rnacentral:lncRNA from 1 species
GAACACACUGGCCCGAUAUUUUUGUCUGGUUGUUUAUCUGGAGAUUUUUCUACCUUUGGAGAUUGGAUGCCUCCGUUCAUUCAAUUUUGCACCUGAUUAGUUUUGUCAUUUCUCAUCCAAACCCCACAACUUAGAAGUCCCUUCUUUAUAAGUAAAGAAUCGUGUCAGAUAUAAAGAGGUUUUAAAUGACAUUUUAUUGGAAAUGAUAGGGUGCACUUAAUUUCUGUUCUUAUGGAAACCCACCCCCCACUAUUUCUGGAUUGGAAAUCUUUUCCUGCAAGAUAAAGGAAUAGUAGUUGUACAUUUCUUUGCCACUAAUUACUUUGCGAUGGACUGACUUAGGCCACUUAAACAAACUUUCAGGCACUAUCCCGUGAGAAGUGGUUGGACUGGCAUUCUCUGAUUAUUGUGAAGUAUUAGUUCUAGUAUGUUGCCUUGUGCACUUCAUAAUUGUCUCCCAAUUUCGUCACAUUUCAUUAACGAAUAUGCACGAAUAUGCUGGAAGCCCAGUCCUUUACAAUAUAGUUAUGUUGUUUCUUUGGCCUAAUAAUUUACAACUCCUACAAGUUAUGUUGUGGCACUACUUGUUUGACAUGUCUUUAUGCAUACCUUUUGAAUAUGAAAGAGCGAAGGCUAUGGUCCUCUCUUGGAAUUUUUAGUGGUCUAUAGAGUUUGAUAAGUGUCGUUGUGCCCUGGAUUUACUGAUAGAUGUGCCAAGUACAAAUUAUUAAAAUUAUAAGGCGCCUUUGGAUGUGCGUUCAAACACUUGGGGGUGGGAUUGGAUGGGAUUUUUUGCUGUCGCGAGAGAGAGGGGGGAGGGGUCGACAUGUAUCUGUGUCCAACAUGUUUGAAGUCUCACCUUCUUGGAAGUCUUUAUACUUGUUAAUUGCACCGUCAAAAAUAGAAAUGCAUGAAUCCACGACAUCAAUCCUGGUAUCAGAAUGAUAUGGUACCUAGUAUUUGGUUGAACGUUUUGAAACUUGUUUCAGGAUAUUUUUAAAAGAAGCCAUUUUUUUUCUUUGGGGUAAGUAAGCGAUUAGUUUAUGACUAUAUAUAUUUAUUACAAUAAAGCCCAAUACACUAUCAAAAAGGGCACACAAAAAGACUACUGAACAAGCUAACCGCCAAGAGGGAAAAACACAUAGCUAGCAAGAAAGAACACCCUCUAGCACAAACCCGUGAGGAAAUAGGCUUAAAUUUUACAUGUACUUAGCUUGAUAAUGAGAUUGGUAAUUGCUUUGUCUCUUGUAACCUUUAAGUGUCUAAAUCUUCUCCUUAGUCACACAAUUUGUGGCCUAGGGUCCGUGUAUGUGCGCCAAAUUUGUGAAUUGCCGAAUUUACCCCAAAUUCGGGGUUAAUUAUGAAUUACGUUAGGUCAAUUCGCGAAUUUGUUGUUUAAGUGGGCGGAUUUAUUAUUUAGAAUAAGUUAUGUACUCUCCUGUACAUAAUUAACCGCUGCUAUAAUAAAUGCUGUUACAAAAGAUUUAUUAAGACACGUUAUGACUAGGAAUUGAACACAGGACAUCACGCAUGGAACAAUAGCUCCCAAACCACUGAGCUGCUACACUUCAUAUACCUAUAAAGCUACUUUUUAUCAUUUUUGUCUUUUCCAUAAUAUUAUAGGUAUUCAAAAAUAUUGCAUAGUGCAAAUACUUAAAUCAUGCUCAUCUAAACAAAAAACUAUGGCAUGAAAAGUUUAUGAAUACACCAUUAAUUUUUUUUUUAUACUAUGAAUAUUUACCUAUAUAAAUAUAUAAAAAUAUAAAAUAGACACGCUCUCACGAUGCUUUCAACUCUAUAAAUUUUAAGAAUAGCCGCUCUCACGCUUUCCGCCCCCGCCAUGCUAAUUUGUGACUUAGAUUUUCUCCAUAUUUUUUUAAAAAAGUUUUUACGCUACGAGAAGUAGUGUUACGUAUCUACUCCACCAAUACCUCUCAACAACUUGGCAUUUGCCACACACGAAUGAAAAUAUCCAUCUGAAAGGAUUUUCGGAGGCCCUUUGAGGUUUGUACAUCGACAAAGAGUGAGCUCAAGACCAUCCUCGGAGGAGGAUGGCUUCUAUUUCCUUCUUUGGGAACUUGUUGCUCUCCCUAGGAGAAGGGUAUUUGGUACUCUCAUUUGCUUCGUCAUUACUCCUUUGUUUUCCCAACCCUCCUUUUUUUCCUCUCAGAGGGGUGUCGGCUACAUUGUCAACACAAGGAUAAGUCCAAUAUUCUUUCCUUUCACUCUCCUCUAUUGGGUAACACAAAGUAAGGACCUCAAAAAAAUUGAGGAGACUUUAGCUUUUCACUCUUUUUUUUCUCUUCAUUUGAUGAAGCAUUUGCGACCGGCUUUUUUCCUUCCCUGCUCUUAUCUGUACUCUCUUGGAUAAUUUUGGGUCUUUGGAGUGUUCAAGAUUGGCUCCGUUAAUUUGCAAGUGGUCGAGCUUUCUUGGAGAUGGAUCCGAGCUGGGCUUGAGCUUGAACCAAGCAGCAGUACUAGAGCUUGACUCAUUAUGUUG